AACGAACGCUGGCGGCAUGCCUAACACAUGCAAGUCGAACGAAGCCUUCGGGCUUAGUGGCGCACGGGUGCGUAACACGUGGGAAUCUGCCCUUCGGUUCGGAAUAACAGUUAGAAAUGACUGCUAAUACCGGAUGAUGACGUAAGUCCAAAGAUUUAUCGCCGAAGGAUGAGCCCGCGUAAGGAUUAGGUAGUUGGUAGGGUAAUGGCCUACCAAGCCGACGAUCCUUAGCUGGUCUGAGAGGAUGAUCAGCCACACUGGGACUGAGACACGGCCCAGACUCCUACGGGAGGCAGCAGUGGGAAUAUUGGACAAUGGGCGAAAGCCUGAUCCAGCAAUGCCGCGUGAGUGAUGAAGGCCUUAGGGUUGUAAAGCUCUUUUACCAGGGAUGAUAAUGACAGUACCUGGAGAAUAAGCUCCGGCUAACUCCGUGCCAGCAGCCGCGGUAAU
rnacentral:rRNA from 1 species